UACGUAGGGUGCAAGCGUUGUCCGGAAUUAUUGGGCGUAAAGAGCUCGUAGGCGGUUUGUCGCGUCUGCUGUGAAAACGCGAGGCUCAACCUCGCGCCUGCAGUGGGUACGGGCAGACUAGAGUGUGGUAGGGGAGAUUGGAAUUCCUGGUGUAGCGGUGGAAUGCGCAGAUAUCAGGAGGAACACCAAAGGCGAAGGCAGUGUCCUGGGGAGUACCGUGACGCUCAGGUGCGAAAGCCAGGGGAGCGAACGGG
rnacentral:rRNA from 1 species